UUUAGAAUACCUUUCUUCUUAGGAGUACGAGGGGGACCCCAAGAAGUAGAUGGCUGUGAGGAAGAAGGCUCUAUAGAAGGACCAUGAGAUGAAGAUGGUGCAUGUGAAGGUGAUGAGGACACCACGAGUACAUCUACACCAGCAGCACCUCAGGCGCCUCCAGUUGCUCCUCCAGUUGGGCCAAUCACUCGAGCCCGUGCGAGAGAAUUAAACUUCAUCAUGCUGUUAAGGAACGAAGGCCCAUCGGAAUAAGAAGAUGGCCCAACAGGGCAGCCCAGGUGGGGCGCCUAGGGUUGGGCGCCGUGACCCCUUCGGACUCCAGGGGCUGCGCCCCCUUUAUUUAGUCCGAGUCCUUUUUGUUUACGACUUGAGUUUUGUUUUACAUCUAGCUUUAGCUACUCUUGAACACGCGCAAAUACGCGCUGUCCUUGUGAUUCAGAACUCCACCUUCGAGUGAUAUUUAGAUUGCUCGCCUCUCUUUCUUGUUCGUUCUUCGAUUGCGGACAGGAAUCGAUCUUCGUGAUCAGGCUGAUCUCGCACCAGCGAGGUUGGUAACCAUCGGGAGUUGGUUCAGCGAUUGCAUUGGCGCUUCGGGUUCGCUCGUCGUAGUCGGAUCGUGAGGGUCUACUUCCACCAAGUCGAAUUUAUCUUCACUCACCGAAAGAUCGGGCACUCCGACUCUAUCAAGUGGUAUCAGCUUUCCAGGUUGAUCGGUGAGUUUUACCGAGUGUUUUUCCCUUCCUACAGUCCACAAAAACCAAAACAAAUUUUUUUCAGGUUAGAUCCUUUGUCCCAGCAACCGUUUAGCCUCGCACAUUCUUUCAAUAAGUGUCUUUGUUGAAUUUGUGUGCCUACUCGUUCAAUUGUUGCUGGUUACUUGUGUUUAAUCUGUUGUUUCUCGUUUUUUCAUCUAACCCUAGUUUUCGCCGCCGCCGCCUUUCCGCUGCUCGCCAACCCUACCAGCCGCGCCCACCGCACCUCCCUGCGACAACCGCGCCGCGCCAUCCCACUACUCCGAUCGCCCCUCCCCUGUCAAAAAAAAAAAAGAUCGAAAGCAAUCAGAAAAAAAAAAGGAAAGUGCAAAAAAAAAAAAGGAAAGAAGCAAAAAAAAAAAAAAAGACGAAGAAGAAUCCAACAGGGAGAAGGAAGGUGAUUCGGAUUUGUUUCGGUGGAAACUCUUUUUGCGCGCGCCGUGACUCCCCCUGGGUCACGACUCUCUGGGGUAAAUUCCCCCCCCCCCCACGCAUUCCGUGCCAGCCUUUCAUAUCCGUAUCUCUCUUUCUUGGUCCUUUAUUAUUCUGAGGUCCGCCUUACUCUAGAGAGAGAGAGAGAGAGAGAGUAUCUUUUUUUUACCGGAAUACCCCUGUACUUUCGGAAAAAGUGUGUGCCGCAUUUUGAUAUUUGAGAUCCUCUGUGUUCAUAUUAUCAGUUUUGGGGCACCCUCUGUGAAAAAAAAAAAAAAAAAAAACAGAAAUAAAAAAAAAAAAAGAGGUGCGCCCUCUCCACCUUGCCUCUGUUCUUUCGAUUUUUCCUUGUUACCAGCAACUCUUGUUACGUGUUUGGCACUAUCUUUCAACUUUGCAUUAUUGUUUGAUUGUGCUAAUCCUUCAUUUGAGUGCAGCCUUCCCAGAACUCCACAUAGUUCUACGACGAGCAUAUUUUGUUUCUCCAGGCAAUCGCUCCUCCAAUCUUUCGUGAGUUCCACCGGUUGGUUGCAGUUCGCCCCUGUGUGCGUGGUAAGAACGGAUAAGAAUUUGAUAACAGCACUAGUGUGAGCGCCUUGUGAGCUGUUACACCCCUAUUUUGUCGUUGCUUUUGUUCUUGUCUUUGCGCUAACCAUGGCAGAUGAUGUCGACGCGGGGGCUAACCAGCUGCAGGGCAUACGAGCGCAAGUUGAAGGGCUUGUUACCGACAUUCAGACGAUUCAUGAACGGCUGGACUCGACGAUCUCCUCGACGACCGAGCGGUGUGAUCAGCUCGACCUUGCACAGACGGCCGCUAAGGCCACACUCGAUUCAGUUGUGGCAAGACUCGAUGCAUUGCACACAACAGUCGCAGAGUUGCAGCAGGGUUAUGGUGGUGACUCGGACCAGGAUGAUGGCGACCGCCGAGGCCGUGCCCGCCGCGUGCCACGCCGUCCCGGUGGUAAUGAUUCCUUUUCCAAGAUUAAAUUUAAAAUUCCACCUUUUAAUGGCAAAUAUGAUCCUGCUGCCUAUCUUGAUUGGGAAUUAGAAGUUGAACAGAAAUUUUCAUGCCAUGAUAUUCUUGCUAAUUCUCAAGUUAAAGCUGCUAUUAGUGAAUUUACUGAUUUUGCUUUAAUUUGGUGGCGUGAAUAUAAACACAAACAUCCCAAUACCAUUCCAACCACUUGGGAGCAAUUAAAAACUGCUAUGCGCCACAGAUUUGUGCCUUCUUAUUAUGCUCGCGAUUUGCUUAAUAAAAUGCAACGUUUUCAGCAAGGUUCCAAAUCUGUUGAGGAAUAUUUCCAGGAAUUACAAAUAGGAAUGAUUCGUUGUGGGUUAUUGGAGGAAACCGACGCUGCUAUGGCCCGUUUUCGUGGUGGUUUGAACCGCGAAAUUCAGGAUAUACUUGAUUAUAAGGACUACACAGAUAUGACAACAUUAUUUGAAUAUGCUUGCAAAGCUGAACGUGAAGUGCAGGGACGCCGCUCGAAGACAUAUUCUAACUCUUUUGCAGGAAGACGCUCGCCAUCCAACUCCGCACCCGCUCUCCCUGCGCCACCCACGCCCACCACUACACCGCGCGAGCGAACGGCAAAACCUGCAAGCGCUGCCCCUUCCACAGGCGCCGCCCCUCCCACAGGCCGUACACGGGAUAUUCAGUGUCAUCGUUGCAAAGGAUUCGGCCAUGUGAUUCGGGACUGUCCGAACAAGCGCACUUUGCUUCUUCGUGACGAUGGUGAGUACUCUUCCGCUAGUGAUUCUGAAGAUAUUCGACAUGCGAUGCUUGCCACUGACCAUGCAGCUAUGGAGGUACAUGUCAACCCGGGCGACGCCGAUAGGUAUGAAAGUCUUGUUGUGCAGCGUGUUCUUAGUACACAGGUCGCCCCAUCCGAGAAGAAUCAGCGACACACUCUUUUCCAUACCAAGGGCGUUGUGCAGGAGCGGUCGAUUCGCAUCAUCAUCGACAGCGGCAGCUGCAACAAUUUGGCGAGUACCACGCUGGUUGAAAAGUUGUCUUUACCCACUCGUAAGCAUCCACAUCCAUAUCACAUUCAAUGGCUUAAUGAUGGUGGGAAAAUUAGAAUUACUCGCUCAGUCCGUGUUCCUUUCUCCAUGGGUGCUUAUUCUGAUUUUGUCGAUUGUGAUGUUAUUCCCAUGGAAGCAUGCUCUCUGUUACUUGGGCGACCUUGGCAAUAUGAUACUGAUAGCUUGCAUCAUGGUCGUUCAAACCACUAUUCUUUCAUGUUUAAGGGUCAGAAAAUAAUUAUACAUCCAAUGACACCUGAACAAAUUCUUAAAGAUGAUCUUGCUAGAGCUGCUAAAACUGCUAAACAACUUGAACCAUCGACAUCUCUUAAUUCUGAAAUCAAGUUGAAUGCUCCUGUUUUGCUUGCCACACGUGCUGAUUUUGAUGAGUUACGCGAUGCUCCUUUGCCAUGCUAUGCCCUUAUAUGCUCUAGUGUGCUCGUUUCACUUGAUGAUGCACCAUCUUUGGAUAUUCCCCCUGCGGUUGCUAACAUUUUGCAGGAGUACGCUGAUGUCUUUCCAAAAGAUUUGCCACCGGGACUUCCACCACUUCGUGGCAUUGAGCACCAGAUCGACCUCAUUCCCGGCGCACAGCUUCCGAACCGCGCACCGUACCGUACAAAUCCGGAUGAGACGAAGGAAAUCCAGCGCCAGGUACAGGCAUUGCUUGACAAGGGUUAUAUUCGUGAGUCUCUUAGCCCUUGCUCCGUUCCUGUGUUACUUGUUCCAAAGAAAGAUGGCUCAUGGCGUAUGUGUGUAGACUGUCGUGCUAUUAAUAACAUUACCAUUCGCUACCGAUACCCUAUACCACGCCUUGAUGAUAUGCUAGAUGAGCUUAGUGGUGCCAUUAUUUUCACUAAGAUUGAUUUGCGUAGUGGCUACCAUCAGAUUCGCAUGAAAUUAGGUGAUGAAUGGAAAACGGCUUUUAAAACGAAAUUUGGGUUAUACGAAUGGUUGGUUAUGCCGUUUGGUUUGACAAAUGCUCCCAGCACAUUUAUGCGUUUGAUGAAUGAAGUUCUAAGGCCCUUCAUAGGAUUGUUUGUAGUUGUCUAUUUUGAUGAUAUCCUCAUUUACAGCAAGUCUAUGGAAGAGCAUUUAGAACAUUUGCGUGCUGUUUUUGAUGCAUUGCGUGCGGCCCAUUUAUUUGCUAACCUCGAAAAAUGCAUGUUUUGCACACAACGUGUCUCGUUUCUUGGCUAUGUUGUUACUCCACAGGGCAUUGAGGUGGAUAGCAGCAAGAUUGAUGCCAUUCGGGAGUGGCCUACACCGACAACGGUUACACAAAUUCGAAGCUUUCUUGGCCUUGCAGGUUUCUACCGUCGGUUUGUUCGUGAUUUUAGCUCCAUUGCAGCGCCUCUACAUGAGCUUACAAAGAAGGAUGUUCCCUUUGCUUGGAGUGAUUCACAAGAGGUUGCGUUCAGCACCUUGAAAGAUAAGUUAACCAAUGCUCCUCUCUUGCAGUUGCCUGAUUUUACUAAAGUGUUUGAGCUUGAAUGCGAUGCUAGCGGUAUUGGGCUAGGUGCUGUUUUAUUACAAGAAGGAAAACCGGUUGCUUACUUUAGCGAAAAAUUAAGUGGUGCUAGCUUGAAUUAUUCUACUUAUGAUAAGGAGCUUUAUGCUUUAGUGCGCACUUUGCAUACUUGGCAGCACUACCUUUGGCAUCGUGAGUUUAUAAUUCAUUCUGAUCAUGAGGCUUUAAAACAUAUUCGUACCCAAACAAACCUGAACCGUCGUCAUGCUAAAUGGGUAGAAUUCAUUGAGUCUUUCCCUUACAUUAUUAAACACAAGAGCGGGAAGGAAAAUGUCAUUGCUGAUGCUUUGUCUCGUCGCUAUACCAUGCUGUCACAGUUAGAUUUUAAAAUCUUUGGCUUGCAAACUGUGAAGGAUCAAUAUGUGCAUGAUGCUGAUUUUAAAGAUGCUUUCGGCCACUGUAUUCAUGGCAAACCAUGGGGCAAAUUUCACAUACAGGACGGGUUCCUGUUUCGCGCUAACAAGCUGUGUGUUCCAGCUAGCUCGGUUCGUCGUUUGUUGUUACAGGAAGCGCAUGGAGGCGGUCUCAUGGGGCACUUUGGCGUCUACAAGACGCAUGAAGUGCUGGCUGCCCACUUCUUUUGGCCCCGGAUGCGCGCUGAUGUUGAGCGCCUUGUUGCCCGCUGCCCUACUUGCCAGAAAGCUAAGUCACGAUUAAACAACCAUGGUUUGUACAUGCCUUUGCCUGUUCCUACUUCCCCUUGGCUUGAUAUUUCUAUGGACUUUGUUUUGGGAUUGCCUAGAACUAAGAAGGGGAGGGACAGUAUUUUUGUGGUUGUUGAUCGUUUCUCCAAAAUGGCUCAUUUUAUACCUUGUCAUAAGACUGAUGAUGCUAGCAAUGUUGCUGAAUUGUUCUUUCGCGAGAUUAUUCGUUUGCAUGGUAUUCCAAAUACAAUAGUCUCUGAUCGUGAUGCUAAGUUUCUCAGUCAUUUUUGGAGAUCACUAUGGAAUAAAAUGGGAACUAAAUUGCUGUUUAGCACCACUUGUCACCCUCAGACUGAUGGACAAACUGAGGUGGUUAAUCGAACCUUGUCCACUAUGCUUAGGGCUGUUUUAGAUAAACACUUGAAACGUUGGGAAGAUUGCUUGCCUCAUGUUGAGUUUGCUUAUAAUCAUGCAACGCAUUCUUCUACAAAGAUGUGUCCUUUUCAAGUUGUUUAUGGUUAUAUUCCUCGGGCGCCUAUUGAUUUGUUUGCACUUGAUGCCGAGGACACCCCACACAUAGAUGCCGCUGCACAUGUUGAUCAAAUGAUUAGCUUGCAUGAGCAAACUCAACAAAACAUUGCUGCUGCUAAUGCUAAAUAUCAGGUUGCGGGUAGUAAAGGGAGAAAACAUGUUACUUUUGCACCGGGUGAUCUGGUUUGGUUGCAUUUGAGGAAGGACCGUUUUCCUACCUUACGUCGUUCUAAAUUGAUGCCACGUGCGGCUGGUCCUUUUAAAGUGCUAACCAAGAUUAAUGAUAAUGCUUAUAUCCUUGACCUGCCUGCGGAGUUUGGUGUUUCCACGAGUUUUAAUGUUGCAGAUUUGAAACCGUAUGUGGGCGAAGAUGAGGAGUUGCCGUCGAGGACGACUUCAGUUCAAGAAGGGGAGGAUGAUGAGGACACCACGAGUACAUCUACACCAGCAGCACCUCAGGCGCCUCCAGUUGCUCCUCCAGUUGGGCCAAUCACUCGAGCCCGUGCGAGAGAAUUAAACUUCAUCAUGCUGUUAAGGAACGAAGGCCCAUCGGAAUAAGAAGAUGGCCCAACAGGGCAGCCCAGGUGGGGCGCCUAGGGUUGGGCGCCGUGACCCCUUCGGACUCCAGGGGCUGCGCCCCCUUUAUUUAGUCCGAGUCCUUUUUGUUUACGACUUGAGUUUUGUUUUACAUCUAGCUUUAGCUACUCUUGAACACGCGCAAAUACGCGCUGUCCUUGUGAUUCAGAACUCCACCUUCGAGUGAUAUUUAGAUUGCUCGCCUCUCUUUCUUGUUCGUUCUUCGAUUGCGGACAGGAAUCGAUCUUCGUGAUCAGGCUGAUCUCGCACCAGCGAGGUUGGUAACCAUCGGGAGUUGGUUCAGCGAUUGCAUUGGCGCUUCGGGUUCGCUCGUCGUAGUCGGAUCGUGAGGGUCUACUUCCACCAAGUCGAAUUUAUCUUCACUCACCGAAAGAUCGGGCACUCCGACUCUAUCAGAAGGUCCAUGAGAAGAAGCUGGAGGUCCUUGAGAUGUACUUGGAGGUGGAAGACAGAUAGCAUGAGAUCCAAUCUUUAGGAGCCUCUCAAGUUGGCCCUUCUUGGGCUUAUAGACGGGAUGAGUCUUAUCUAUCAAAAU
rnacentral:lncRNA from 1 species